rnacentral:rRNA from 1 species
UGCGUGCCUUUUGAAGAAUGAGCCUGCGAGUUAGCGGUGUGUAGCGAGGUUAACCCGUGUGGGGAAGCCGUAGCGAAAGCGAGUCCGAAUAGGGCGAUUGAGUUGCACGCUCUAGACCCGAAGC